ACAGUAAGAUCAUAGCUUCAGGACCUAAGUAGCUCCUGGGGAUGGGAAAGAGAUGACUGACUGAGGUGGUUGAUGGGAUUCUUACAGGUCUCACUCUGUCACCCCCAACUGGAGUGCAGUGGUGCGAUCUCCGUUCACUGCAACCUCCACCUCCCAGGCUCAAGUGAUUCUCCUGCCUCAGCCUCCUGAGUAGCUGGGAUUACAGGAGGAAGCAUUCCCAUGUGAAAGAUGAGCUCCCUAUAAAAGCAACGCUCUUAUCAUCGAGAACAGAAAGUUGAAGCCAAGAGAGAGCUCCACAAGCUGACCUUGUUAAACUAACCCUUAUCUUCUUAGUCGCUUCUUUACCCAAUUAACUACCCUAGCCGAAGCCCCUUUGCCUUAUUACAUUUUGCAACAGUGUUCGUUGUCCAAUUCAGUAUACAAGUGAGUGACUCUGGAUGCUUUUUGGGGUCUUCGUUUCCUUAUGAGGGCUUCUGUGCCAUGUAAAACUUGUAUUAAAUAAAUUUGUAUGCUUUUCUCCUGUUAAUCUGUCUAUAUCGAUUGAACUUUAGGGUCCAGUCAGAACCCAAAGAGGAUGGAGGUGGAGUUUUGGCUCCUCUACAGCUAUCUGAAUAAUCAAAAUUCAAGAUAUUCCAUGUUCUUUCUGAGUUUCUUUGAAAUUAAAAAUGCAGACAACCACUCAACUAAUACGUCAGCGAGAUACGUUUUCUGUCCUUAUUGCCUUACUGAUGAAAUUGCCUUUAUUCAUAAAAAAUAAAUGUGGGAGUCUUGUUUAUUUAUUUCUAAUGACAUUAACUUGACAUUAACCUUGGUGCUCUUGGGAACCAUAAAUGGGCCCUGUACUACUUGUUACAGAGUAUAAAUUCCCAGAACUACAAGUACAUCAUAUUCCUCAAGUUACUGAAGAAUUUCAUGAUCCAUGUGUCAGGCCUCUGAGCCCAAGC
rnacentral:lncRNA from 10 species